CUGAACACAAACCACUGAGAAAUUUCGGUAUUCACCAGAUGAGAAAAGAAAAAUUGGAAAAGGAAGAAAAAGAGUAGACCAAGGAAGCUCAUUCCCCACUCCAUUCCAACCAUCAUCCUCAUUGUAGAACCAAAAGGAGGUGUACAUG